rnacentral:rRNA from 1 species
UARCAACUUUCRGCAGUGGAUGUCUAGGCUCGCACAUCGAUGAAGAACGCUGCGAACUGCGAUACGUAAUGCGAAUUGCAGGAUUCAGUGAGUCAUCGAAAUUUUGAACGCAUAUUGCACUUCCGGGUUAGUCCUGGAAGUAUGCCUGUAUCAGUGUCCGUA